rnacentral:rRNA from 1 species
AUUGAACGCUGCCGGCAGGCCUAACACAUGCAAGUCGCGCGUUUGAAGGCUUCUUGCUCCUGGAUUCAGCGGCGGACGAGUGAUUAAUGCCUAGUAAUCUGCCUGGUAGUGGUGGAUAACGUCCUGACACGGGCGCUCAUACCACAUACGUCCUGCGGGCGACAGUGGGGGUUCUUCUCACCUCACUCUCUCUGAUGAGCCUAGGUCGGAUUAGCUAGUUGGUGGGGUAAAGGCCUACCAAGGCGACGAUCCGUAACUGGUCUGAGAGGAUGAUCAGUCACACUGGAACUGAGACACGGUCCAGACUCCUACGGGAGGCAGCAGUGGGGAAUAGUGGACAAUGGGCGAAAGCCUGAUCCAGCCAUGCAGCGUGUGUGAAGAAGGUCUUCGGAUUGUAAAGCACUUUAAGUUGGGAGGAAGGGCAGUAAGUUAAAAACUUGCUGUUUUGAAGUUACCAACAGAAUAAGCACCGGCUAACUUCGUG